CUGCUGCCUUCCGUAGGAGUCUGGGCCGUGUCUCAGUCCCAGUGUGGGGGGGCCUUCCCCUC
rnacentral:rRNA from 1 species